CGUAACUCAACUGUAUUAAGUGUUGGAGUCAAUAUGAUUCAUGGAGUGGUACAUACAACCUGAAAUCUAAGAAUUGCAGUAUCUAAAUAAAUAUAAGGAAGAGUUCCCUGUUACCUACCCGUCAUCAAGAAAAAUCAGAAUUUGUUGGACAACAUCAUCUUAAGUCUGAAGGAUUCCACUUCUACGGUGCAGACUUCAACCUUAGCUCCAG
rnacentral:lncRNA from 1 species